GACGAACGCUGGCGGCGUGCUUAACACAUGCAAGUCGAACGGAAAGGCCCUGCUUGCAGGGUACUCGAGUGGCGAACGGGUGAGUAACACGUGGGUGAUCUGCCCUGCACUUCGGGAUAAGCCUGGGAAACUGGGUCUAAUACCGGAUAGGAGCCAUUUUUAGUGUGAUGGUUGGAAAGUUUUUUCGGUGUAGGAUGAGCUCGCGGCCUAUCAGCUUGUUGGUGGGGUAAUGGCCUACCAAGGCGGCGACGGGUAGCCGGCCUGAGAGGGUGGACGGCCACAUUGGGACUGAGAUACGGCCCAGACUCCUACGGGAGGCAGCAGUGGGGAAUAUUGCACAAUGGGCGCAAGCCUGAUGCAGCGACGCCGCGUGGGGGAUGACGGCCUUCGGGUUGUAAACUCCUUUCGCUAGGGACGAAGCUUUUUGUGACGGUACCUAGAUAAGAAGCACCGGCUAAC
rnacentral:rRNA from 1 species